AUUGAACGCUGGCGGCAUGCUUUACACAUGCAAGUCGAACGGUAACAGGGUGCUUGCACCGCUGACGAGUGGCGAACGGGUGAGUAAUGCGUCGGAACGUGCCGAGUAGUGGGGGAUAACGCAGCGAAAGUUGUGCUAAUACCGCAUACGUACUGAGGUAGAAAGUGGGGGACCUUCGGGCCUCACGCUAUUCGAGCGGCCGACGUCUGAUUAGCUAGUAGGUGAGGUAAAGGCUCACCUAGGCGACGAUCAGUAGCGGGUCUGAGAGGAUGAUCCGCCACACUGGGACUGAGACACGGCCCAGACUCCUACGGGAGGCAGCAGUGGGGAAUUUUGGACAAUGGGCGCAAACCUGAUCCAGCCAUGCCGCGUGUCUGAAGAAGGCCUUCGGGUUGUAAAGGACUUUUGUCGGGGAGGAAAUCCCUAGCGUUAAUACCGCUGGGGGAUGACAGUACCUGAAGAAUAAGCACCGGCUAACUACGUGCCAGCCGCCGCUGUAACAC
rnacentral:rRNA from 1 species